UACGGGGGGGGUAAGCGUUGUUCGGAAUUACUGGGCGUAAAGGGCUCGUAGGCGGCCAACUAAGUCAGACGUGAAAUCCCUCAGCUUAACUGGGGAACUGCGUCUGAUACUGGAUGGCUUGGAUCCGGAAGAGGGAUGCGGAAUUCCAGGUGUAGCGGUGAAAUGCGUAGAUAUCUGGAGGAACACCGGUGGCGAAGGCGGUUCUCUGGGAAUGUCCUGACGCUGAGGAGCGAAAGUGUGGGGAGCGAACAGG
rnacentral:rRNA from 1 species